CCCAGGUUGGGCCACUGCACUCCAGCCUGGCAACUCCUAUUAAGUAAAGUGCUUCUGAAGUGGAACUGUCUCUGGAAAGAACUAGGUCUUCACCAGGAAUGAGACU